rnacentral:rRNA from 1 species
AUGAAGGAAUGGACUGACCGCCUUGCUCUGGGAGGACCGGUGGAUCAAUGGCCAGUCCGUCCGCGAACUCCUGCCCAACCUCUACGACUGCAUCCCCAAGCGACGGCGCACGGCGAGAAACAUGGCGAAUGGACUGAAUGGCAACUCCUGGGCACGCAACAUUCACGGCAACCUAGGCUUGCACGAGAUUGGUCAGUACCUGCAGCUAUGGCAGGUCAUGCAGCACACAGUGCUCUCCCCGCCCUGGACCAGCUGAUCUAA